CCCUCCCUCUCUCUCUGUGUUUAUCCCUCCCCUCCUCCUCCUGCGCUAGCUGCCAGUAGUACCUUGUUGCAGUAAAUUAGCCCUAACUAGGCAGCGCUCGGCCACCACCAGGGACAACACGCAGAACACAGAACGCAGAACGCGCUGGCUGCUCGUCGUAAGAACCACAUCAGAGCAGCCUGAGGAGGAAGAGACGCUGAGAACAGGAAAAGGAUCUGCCACAAAAAAACGAGAAGACUACAAAAAUAACGACUCUAAAAGACCAAGGGAGGAUCUGGACAAAAAGGGCAACUGAACUGUCGGCUGCCUUUUGGUGUCUGAUUUGUGUGUUCACAUCCCACCCAAGGAGGUCAUCGUGUGAGCAUGGCCAGCUGUGGCUGCUGUUUCUGGGGCAUCAUCUGGCUGAUUGUCCUCCUGGUGAUUGGCUGGCCGCUGAGCAUCCUUCUGGGGGGCCUGUAUGGCUUCAUCGCUCCGCUGACGGCGUGCGUGGGGCUGGACCGACUGGCCGACCUGCUGAUGGAGGGGGCCAACCUGGGCCGUACCUGCGCCCAGAACAUGCGACACGGGAAACCACUGUGCUGAGACCCACCUGUAGACUAGUGCACACCUGUGAUGAAGCUAACCUGACCCCACACACACACAAUGCAUUUCCUGUUUGUUAGCCGCAUUGUGUAUAAGCCGCAGGACAGUGUUUUAUCCAACUUAAAAGGAAACAAAACCAUAUUAAUACCAUAUUAACUGCUCCCAUAUAUUAACCCUACAGCUGGAAAAAAAAAGCAAAAACAAUGUAUAAGCCGCGGCUAAUAGUUGGGAAAUUACAGUAGAUACCCAUGCAGAUCUAUCAAGUAUAGAUCGUCAAACUAAUCAUUCUAAGGUUACAUUUACUUAGAUUAGAUUACAUUUGUUUUAACUUUCUCCAGGUACUCUAAACAUAAUGCUUUGUAACAUAUAGUACAGAAAGGAGUAGUCAAUAGACCCAUUGUGACAUUUCAGUAUUUUAUAUGUACAAAUAUUUGUACGAGAAGUGAAGCUUUAAAAGGUCAAAGGUUAACAUCAUUCAUAUCCACCAAAGUGCCUGGGCUGUUCCAAAGUUCCUUUUGUGGCACACUAUACCUGCUUUUGUGGAUAAUACUGUGUAGUUUGUGAAAAAAUGAAUGUUAAAUGUCACAACAGUGUGUACAAUGGUGCUGGUUCUGUUUCAUUUCAAACCGAAAGUCUUGUAUGUAUGAUAUGGACCUAAUAUUGCCCGAAGUGCCUGUAUUUGUUAUAUUGUAUGCUGUUUAGAAUUGAUAUAGAUGUCACUAGUUCUUUUGGUACUGGGACCAAUUCCAGAGAAAAAUUGUAUCUUGAUGAAACUGAUAUAUUGAAUUAUUGAGUCAAUGAAGUAAAGCCAAUUCUGCCUUAAUAUCAAAA